rnacentral:misc_RNA from 1 species
ACAAGGUUUCCGUAGGUGAACCUGCGGAAGGAUCAUUACCUGGCCUUGGGCCGCUCGCGGGGGCGCGUCGUUCGCGAUGGCGUCUCCGGGGGUGCUUAGCCCUUGACUAUCACCUUGACUACGCGCACCUUUGUUGUUCCCUCGGCAGCUCGCUGCCGCCAGGGACCCUGAAACCCCCUUGCAUUAGCAUAAAACCUCUGAAAACAAACCUAAUUAUUUACAACUUUCAACAAUGGAUCUCUUGGUUCUGGCAUCGAUGAAGAACGCAGCGAAAUGCGAUAAGUAGUGUGAAUUGCAGAAUUCAGUGAAUCAUCGAAUCUUUGAACGCACAUUGCGCCCCUUGGUAUUCCAUGGGGCAUGCCUGUUCGAGCGUCAUUUACACCCCCAAGCACUGCUUGGUGUUGGGCGUCUGUCCCCGCUUCUCGCGGGGACUCGCCCCAAAGGCAUUGGCAGCGGUCUUGCCAGCUUCUCGCGCAGCACAUUGCGCUUCUCGAGGCCCCGGCGGAUCGGCGUCCAUCAAGUCACACCCACAGUUUGACCUCGGAUCAGGUAGGGAUACCCGCUGAACUUAAGCAUAUCAAUAA